GCUCCUGUAGUUAAGUGGUAUAACAGUAUCUUGGUAAGAUACAAUCUCGGGUUCAAUUCCCGACGGGAGCUCAA
rnacentral:tRNA from 1 species